AUAACUGCAGACGGUGGAUCG
rnacentral:rRNA from 1 species